rnacentral:lncRNA from 1 species
AUGCUAACCAUCCACUUUCUACCCCCUCUCACGCCAUCUCUCUCUCUCUUGCUCUCUCUCUCUCACCCUCACCCUCCCUCCCUGUCCCCACAUGUGUUACUAAGCUUUCCGAAAGGGUUCACCGCAUUCCCCCUAUCUGGUGCAGAGACGGGGGACCCAUAUGCAAUCUGCCAUAUUGAACGGGCACUAAGUUGGAUCUAUGAGUACCCUUUAUUUUCUGUGCAGGUCAGUCCAGAUCCAGUGAGAAACCAAAAAAACGACUUUCGAGAGCUGGAAAAUCCACUCGGGUCUCUCGGGCUGGCCAAUGACACAGAGGCUGCUGCCAAGCUGGCCAACGGGACAGAGGCAAUUUUUUUGUGAGUAUGUUUCCCAGAGCCAGCUGCCUCAGCACCAGACUACACUUACUUUCCCUUAUGAUACAUGAGAUAAUCAUCUGGUGUAGUACUGCACUUCAGCUUUGCUUGGCCACAGUGCUGUUCAAACAUGUGUGGAAACCCAGCAGAGUAGGUGUCUAUUUUAACUUGUCUAGUUAAUUAAUGAUCUCAAAGUUUGAAGAGAUGGAGAACUUGAGGAAUUGUUCCAAAAUGCUGGGCUGCAACAAGAUCUCACGGUUUAACCAAUUUUGACUUCAGAUUCUGACGUUAAUCCACAUGUAUCCAAAUGUUAAAUAUUGAAGUGGCUCCAAACAUCAAAUUUCGAAGUUAAGUGUUAAGGUUUGGGAUAGGGUUAAAACAAAAGUGUGUGUCUUCCACUGGGAUUGAACACGCUACCUUCGGAUCCAGAGUCAUGGGAUUACCUCUACUAGUCUUGAUGGUAAUAGCGCUCACAGUUGCCCCUAGUGGCUGUGUUUGAAGGCAUUUCCCAACAUCCUCAAGACAUGGACAGACGUCCAAUUUCGAAGUCAAUCUUGAGCGAUCUAGCUGUCCAAUGACGUGGCCCUGGUCCUUUCUAAGUAGUCUUUCUGUCCAUGUUGUCAUUUGAUUUAUAAGUGCUACUGAUGAAUUUCAUUUCCACAUUUCCUCUCAUUUGAAACAAGUUAAGAUGUUAUGGUCUGUGCAUGCCGUGGUUGUUCAUCGAUAGAUUUCCUGGCAGUUGGCUUCCUUGAAAUUAGGCCCAUGCUAUAGUACCCUAGCGUGCUGCUUGACACAAAAAGUGAUUCUUUCUAAAUUGAAUAAAGUACAAGUUGAACUGCUAAUAAUAUGGAUAAUGCCAUGUAAUUAUACAAUUUAUUACAAUAUUUAUAAAGUUGAAAGGAGAUACUGUAUUAUGCAUUGACAUGAUUAAUACAGGUAUUUGUAUUACAUGCCCAGAUUGCAACAAUAGGCCUACCAUUUUAACAAAUAGAAAAUGCAAAUGUUUUUAUAUACAUGAAUAAUAG